GUUGGCCCAACUGAUUGAACGUGCUUGCACGGACUUGACGUUGGUUUACCAGCGAGUGGCGGACGGGUGAGUAACACGUAGGUAACCUGCCCCAAAGCGGGGGAUAACAUUUGGAAACAGAUGCUAAUACCGCAUAACAAUUUGAAUCGCAUGAUUCAAAUUUAAAAGAUGGCUUCGGCUAUCACUUUGGGAUGGACCUGCGGCGCAUUAGCUUGUUGGUAGGGUAACGGCCUACCAAGGCUGUGAUGCGUAGCCGAGUUGAGAGACUGAUCGGCCACAAUGGAACUGAGACACGGUCCAUACUCCUACGGGAGGCAGCAGUAGGGAAUCUUCCACAAUGGGCGCAAGCCUGAUGGAGCAACACUGCGUGAGUGAAGAAGGGUUUCGGCUCGUAAAGCUCUGUUGUUAGAGAAGAACGUGCGUGAGAGCAACUGUUCACGCAGUGACGGUAUCUAACCAGAAAGUCACGGCUAACUACGUGCCAGCAGCCGCGGUAAUACGUAGGUGGCAAGCGUUAUCCGGAUUUAUUGGGCGUAAAGCGAGCGCAGGCGGUUUGAUAAGUCUGAUGUGAAAGCCUUUGGCUUAACCAAAGAAGUGCAUCGGAAACUGUCAGACUUGAGUGCAGAAGAGGACAGUGGAACUCCAUGUGUAGCGGUGGAAUGCGUAGAUAUAUGGAAGAACACCAGUGGCGAAGGCGGCUGUCUGGUCUGCAACUGAC
rnacentral:rRNA from 1 species